CCUGAUGCAGCAACGCCGCGUGAACGAUGAAGGUCUUCGGAUCGUAAAGUUCUGUUGCAGGGGAAGAUAAUGACGGUACCCUGUGAGGAAGCCCCGGCUAACUACGUGCCAGCAGCCGCGGUAAUACGUAGGGGGCUAGCGUUAUCCGGAUUUACUGGGCGUAAAGGGUGCGUAGUGGUCCUUCAAGUCGUGGUUAAAGCUACGCUCAACCGUGGUAAGCCGCCGAAACUGGAGACUUGAGUGCAGGAGAGGAAAGUGGAAUUCCCAGUGUAGCGGUGAAAUGCGUAGAUAUUGGGAGGAACACCAGUAGCGAAGGCGGCUUUCUGGACUGCAACUGACACUGAGGCACGAAAGCGUGGGUAGCAAACAGGAUUAGAUACCCUGGUAGUCCACGCUGUAAACGAUGAGUACUAGGUGUCGGGGGUUACCCCCUCGGUGCCGCAGCUAAGCAUUAAGUACUCGCCUGGGGGUACGCACGCAAGUGUGAAACUCAAAGGAAUUGACGGGGACCCGCACAAGUAGCGGAGCAUGUGGUUUAAUUCGAAGCAACGCGAGAACCU
rnacentral:rRNA from 1 species